GAUGAACGCUAGCGGCAGGCCUAAUACAUGCAAGUCGAGGGGUAGAGGUUGCUUGCAACCUUGAGACCGGCGCACGGGUGCGUAACGCGUAUGCAACCUACCUUUAUCUGGGGGAUAGCCCGAAGAAAUUCGGAUUAACACCGCAUAAAAUCACAGUAUCGCAUGGUACAAUGAUCAAAUAUUUAUAGGAUAAAGAUGGG
rnacentral:rRNA from 1 species